rfam:Plicaturopsis crispa FD-325 SS-3 unplaced genomic scaffold PLICRscaffold_169, whole genome shotgun sequence.
GCUGAAAUAGUUUAAAUGGUUAAAACAUACCACUCAUGACGGUAAAACAAAGGUUCGAUUCCUUUUUUCGGCU